AUCAUUUUUCCACGUUUUGACCAAGAUCAAGUGUAGUAUCUAUUCUAAUCAAUUUAAUAUCUGAUUUGUUCUCUAAAUGAGAGUGUUAUAUCAAGCAGGUUUUUUAGAGCAAGGAGUUGGGAUAGGGGUUUGCUUUUUCGGCUCCAUAUACCAACCUCAUGUUGCAGUACCUCUAUCUUUGUUUUUAGGAAAAGUUUUU